UACGAUUGGUCCUCCCGCUCUCAUUACUGCUGCAUUUGUAGAUGUUCCAUUGGCUGUGACGGUUCUCUGGUGAUACUCCCUGAAAAGAAAAUAUCUGUUUACUGAUACCAAAUUAUUAAGGAUUGGCCAAUAGGACUAAGCAGUAUCGAGACCAGUGGCAAGAGGUGAUGACCCAGUGACGGGUAAGAAUCUCCAAUGGCAAAAAGGGGGGGCAACCUAAGGCAGGGCAUCACCACCCUGGAAACCUGCCCAAGAAGGUUUGAUAUGGGUUUAAGGAAGUGGAUGAAUGCUCUUAGGUCAGAAGCAUCAAAAGGGAGGUCUAGAAGAGACCUGCCCGAAAAUUGUGAGUUCCACUCAACCCGACUGCAUUUUAAUAACCAGUUUACUAAAACAACUUAUCACAGUGUUAAAUACCAAGCAUUCUGUCACUUUGCCAUCAGGGGAUCAUACCCUGUGUAGAAGAUUAUUUAUAGAUUGGUUUUGGGGGGUAAAGUUUUGAGAACUGUUGCAGACAAAGGAGUGCCUGACUUAUUAACAAGUAUUAAACAAACCUGGGAAUGCUUGUAUGAUGAAUAAUUAAGAUUGGAAGAUGAUUUAUUUCUUUUACUUAUGCUUUUAUUGAACUCAUGUACAUUUUAAUAGUAAUGAAGAAUGGAAAAAAGAAGAAAACAUGGUGGUGACUAAAGAUUAAGUUUGCUUGUCUUGUUUGUUUAUAACAACAUAAAUAGAAUUGUUUAAGAAAUGGGGGCAUGGUUGGAAAUUGGUUUGACAAACUAUUUGGAUCCUGGGAAGAAUGGCUUACUAAAGUGGGAGUAAUAAUAGACAUAGCUGUUGUUAUUUUUGUGUUGUUGUUUUGUUGUGUUGUGCCUCUCCUCAGAUAAAUGCUGGCCAGUGCUGCAGCCAAAUAUAUGAUCAAUGUGUCUGUAAAGCCAUCUGAAAUUGAUAUUGGGGCCACCAUAUGUACCAUAGGCCCUGGACUGGAUGAGCUGCACAAAUUCUAGUAAAACCCUGGAAUUACACAUGAGUGGUAGGGAAGGGGAGCCUUUUAUUUUUUAUUCUUUAUUUUAGAUUUUCUACUGUUUUUGGAUAACAAGGGAGUCAGCAUACUCAUUGUAUUUUAUUUUAUAACAAAAUUAGGUAGAACUUUAGAUUGGAUAGAGUAGGCAGAAGAUAGAGGGUGUUAUGUUUAUUAUUUUGGCAUAUGCCCCUUUCUGAAGUCAUUUAUCCUUUUCUUUUAAACAUUCAAUUUAUGAUGUUCGUUGUUUAAUCAAGUUAUGUACUCCUUGAAUAUCAUCUAUUGUUUGAAUCAUCUCUGAAGGUACUAUUAACCAAGAAAAUUAUUUUAAAUGAAAUAUAGUAUGCAUGUUUGAUCUUUAAAAACACUGAAAGUACCACUGGAGGGCCAGACGAUAAGACACCACAAAAUGAAGAAAGGCUGGAGGAGCACCUCAGUGCUUAGCAGUAAGAGCAAGAUUCUACUGGUGGUUUAAAAAUCCGCUGUCUGCUCCAACACCACCAGAUAGCACUCCAGGCUACCGGAAAUGUCUGUGAGUUCCUCUGGCACCGUGGGACGUUUCAUAUGCUGAGUAAUUUGCUGAUAUUUAUUAAUCACUGAAGUAUGUUAACCUACUGAAAUAAGUCUAAUCACUGAUGUACUCUAUAUCAUGCAAGGCUAAAUCUGCAUGCACAUGCUUUUAUACAAGAAGUUGAUUUGUUUUUGAUUGAUGUCACCCCCUAGAAAGAACUUAGUUAGGGAGAUGAGAUCUUUUACUCCCUCCCAGCCAAAUAUGGGGGAGAUGUUUGGUCUUAUUUCUCCUCCGGAGUGCAGUUCCAUAAGAGCAGUCAUUUUUACAUUGGUCACUUGAUAGAAAUGAAGGAGACUAACUUGUGAGGUUACACUCUGGGUAAGGACAAUAGAGGUGAGACUUUUAAUAAGUCUCAAAGGAGGGAAUAUAUAUAGUAUAUUUUUAUAUAUCAAACAUAGAAAAAGUACUUAAUCAUUCAGUUAAUAAUUGAAUUAAUAUAUAUGCAAUAUGCAGUGAUCUAAAAUGACAGUGUAAUCAAUGUACUAUGAAUAACUGCAUUAUUAAUGUUAUUCAAUAUGUUACAUAUUUAAUCAUUCUUUUAUUGAUUUAAUACUCUGAUUUACUCUGAUGCAGUUUGAAACUAUGGAAAACAGCUUAGCUUGCGGUCUCUCUCUGUGUAAGGCCUUUCUGGGUCAAUGGAAAAUGAGUUGAUGUGAUACAGACAGUGACAGACGUUGGGAAACAGGAGAAGGGAUGCAGGUGUCAAGCAAAUGAGUAGGGAGUUUUCUAUUAAACUUUGUAUGACCCAAAGGGAGGUGCGCAUGGGGAUAUUAAAAGGAAAAUUGUGCUGGUGCUGAUAACGCCAAGGUCGCCAAAAAAGGCAUUGAGAUGAAACAGCAAGGUGACCAGCUGGAAGGGAGUUGGUGAUGAUGAAACUUGGGGGGGUAUAAGAUGAUUUUAUUGGAUCAAGAGCCAUUACUCAAAGAGAGAGGGUGGAACAGAAGCUGUAUAAAAGGAUGCAUGAUUCUGAAGUGUAAUUUCAGAUGCUAGGUAAUCAACUGGCAUCUCGGAUUUGUUCAAUAAAGUCUAAUCUUUGAUAUCUGGAA